AGAGUUUGAUCCUGGCUCAGGAUGAACGCUGGCGGCGUGCUUAACACAUGCAAGUCGAACGAAGAUAUUUAAAAUGAGAGCUUCGGCAGGAUUUUUAUCUAUCUUAGUGGCGGACGGGUGAGUAACGUGUGGGCAACCUGCCCUGUACUGGGGAAUAAUCAUUGGAAACGAUGACUAAUACCGCAUGUGGUCCUCGGAAGGCAUCUUCUGAGGAAGAAAGGAUUUAUUCGGUACAGGAUGGGCCCGCAUCUGAUUAGCUAGUUGGUGAGAUAACAGCCCACCAAGGCGACGAUCAGUAGCCGACCUGAGAGGGUGAUCGGCCACAUUGGGACUGAGACACGGCCCAAACUCCUACGGGAGGCAGCAGUGGGGAAUAUUGCACAAUGGGCGAAAGCCUGAUGCAGCAACGCCGCGUGAAGGAUGAAGGGUUUCGGCUCGUAAACUUCUAUCAAUAGGGAAGAAAGAAAUGACGGUACCUAAAUAAGAAGCCCCGGCUAACUACGUGCCAGCAGCCGCGGUAAUACGUAGGGGGCAAGCGUUAUCCGGAAUUACUGGGUGUAAAGGGAGCGUAGGCGGCAUGGUAAGCCAGAUGUGAAAGCCUUGGGCUUAACCCGAGGAUUGCAUUUGGAACUAUCAAGCUAGAGUACAGGAGAGGAAAGCGGAAUUCCUAGUGUAGCGGUGAAAUGCGUAGAUAUUAGGAAGAACACCAGUGGCGAAGGCGGCUUUCUGGACUGAAACUGACGCUGAGGCUCGAAAGCGUGGGGAGCAAACAGGAUUAGAUACCCUGGUAGUCCACGCCGUAAACGAUGAGUGCUAGGUGUCGGGGAGGAAUCCUCGGUGCCGCAGCUAACGCAAUAAGCACUCCACCUGGGGAGUACGACCGCAAGGUUGAAACUCAAAGGAAU
rnacentral:rRNA from 1 species